UACGGAAGGCAGCAGUGGGGAAUAUUGCACAAUGGGCGCAAGCCUGAUGCAGCCAUGCCGCGUGUAUGAAAAAGGCCUUCGGGUUGUAAAGUACUUUCAGUCGUGAGGAAGGUGUUAAGGCUAAUAACCUUAGCAAUUGACGUUAGCGACAGAAGAAGCACCGGCUAACUCCGUGCCAGCAGCCGCGGUAAUACGGAGGGUGCUAGCGUUAAUCAGAAUUACUGGGCGUAAAGAGCACGUAGGUGGUUUUUUUAAGUCAGAUGUGAAAUCCCCUGGGCUUAACCUGGAACUGCAUUUUGAAACUGAAUACUAGAGUAUCGUAGAGGGAGGUAGAAUUCUAGGUGUAGCGGUGAAAUGCGUAGAUAUCUGGAGGAAUACCUGUGGCGAAAGCGGCUCCUAAACGGAUACUGACACUGAGUGCGAAAGCGUGGGGAGCAAACAGGGAUUAGAUACC
rnacentral:rRNA from 1 species